GUUUUCUCUUCAUAACGCCACCUCAAGCGUUUUAUUAGCCCAGUCUUAUUUUGUAAAACACUUUCAGUCUCGUUUGUAUUCGCCAACAACAUUGCACUACGUAUUUAAUUAUAGUUAUUGUCAUAUGACCAGCAUUGUUCUCCUCACGCGAUAAAGGUUCGUUGAUGACGACAUUUAGUCAUAAUUUUUGGUGUCAAAAGUAACACUAUUUGCAACUACUGGUGGUGGUGGUGGUUAUCAGGUACUAAACUCAUAAAGCAAAAUUUGGCUAUAUAACUCAAGGUUAACCUGCAGCAACCCCGGCAAGUUUGACCACGUCGGUGGAUCAUCUAGAAAACACUCUUGAGUUCGGUGUCACGUUGGUGGCAUAUCAUGGAAAAAAUAAAACUCAAGGUUCGCAGCGGCGACCCCGGUGAGUGCGUUGGCCAAAGCGCAGCGGUAAAAACUCGGGCACUCGUAAUUAUGACCACGUCGGUGGCACGUUAUCUAUUACUCAUGGUUGACUGCAGUAACCCCGGUGAGUGCGUUGACCAUGUCAACGCACAAUUGGGGCACAACUCAGGCACUAGUGAGUUUGUUGCACACGUCGGUGCGGUACAACACAGUACUCAACGUCCUACAUCCGGUCGAGUUCAAGGUUCUUUCUUCAAGCGCACACGAUGCUCUCUAACGUCGGUUAAGACAGGGUUUACACGUUUGCAACCAUAGCUGUUUUUGGCGGCCUGUUCCUUUCUAGUGUUAGUCUAGUCUUGUGUCAAGCUGUCAUUUUAGUUUUUAUUAGUUUUAGUUACAUUCAUACUCUUUCCAGUGUUAUCGUAAUUACAUUUAGAUAUUAUCGAAGUUACAAGUGCGUACUUUUGUUAAAUAAGGUAAACGGUUGAAAAUUGAUGUUAUGUCUGGAACAGUUGAAGUUCCAGUCGAACAAAAUAACGUUAUAAGUCUUUAUCGCCUAGUUUAGGUCAACGAAAAUGAAGAGACAUUUUAGCAGUCUUAUUUUCGUAAAACACCUUUUAGUCUUGUUUUAUUCGCCAACUAUAUUGUACUAUGCUUUUAAUCAAAGCUAUUGUCACACGCCCAGCAUCCACGUUGCGUCCAGUCUCGUUUUUCUCACGCGAUAAAGGCUUGUUGAUGACGACUUAGUCAUAAUUUUCAUUGCCAAAAGCAACACUAUUCUGGCGGCCUGUUUCCAUUCCAGGGUUAUUCUAGUCUUAGUGUCUAGCUGUUAUUUUAGUCUAUUCGUUUUAGUUACGUCUAUAUUCUUUCUAGUGUUAUCGAAAUAUAUUGCAAUAUGUAUUUAACUACAGUUAUUGUCACACGCCCUAUGGGGCGCCGUUUGUAAAAACUCUGUUACAAUUUUUUAGCUGAUACAUUUUCAACAUUUAGCUCACUUUCCUCACAUUUAGCGCAUUUUCCUCACAUUUGAGAGAAAUUCAUGCAAAACAACAUGUUAUAUUUAAUUGUCAACAAUAUGUUCAAAUGUACAAAAUCUAUGUUAGAAAUUAUAUCUAAAUGUUAGAUCUAAAUCUAA
ensembl:lncRNA